GACGAACCGUGCGAACGUUAUUCGGAAUCACUGGGCUUAAAGCGCGUGUAGGCGGGCCGGCACGUCGGUGCUGAAAGCCCCCGGCUCAACCGGGGAACGGGCGCCGAUACGACCGGCCUGGAGGGGCGUAGGGGGAUCGGGAACUUCCGGUGGAGCGGUGAAAUGCGUUGAGAUCGGAAGGAACGCCCGUGGCGAAGCGCGGUCCUGGACGCCUGCUGACGCUGAGACGCGAAGCCAGGGAGCGAACGGG
rnacentral:rRNA from 1 species